GCCUAUAAAAGGCAGACUUUAUUGCCUUGUUGGAGGAGGUUGGAACCCCAAAAAUUUCCCCCAAAACCCUCUCUGCAGAUCUGAGCCUAAAAUUUGAAUUUCGAAUCAAUGGAAGUUCAAAAAUCCUCCUCUAGAUUUUAGUUUCGAAAAAUCCAGUAGAAAAUCCAAAAAAAAACGAUAGAAAACUCGAAAAACAAUUGUUACAUUGCUUUUCCUUAGGCUAUUUUGAACUCCAGCACUUAAUUCAAGUUUCUAGCUCAAUUAGGAUCCAAAACUGUUUGAAUUCCUUUGUUUCUAUUUGGUAUUUGAGGUCUGAAGGUAAUUUGGGUCAGCUAGGCAUUGAUUCUGAUUAAAUCGAAUUGACUAUGGUGAUCUGUUAAGUGUGUGGAUAUGCUGGGUUCAUUUUCUGGUUGUUUGAUAUAGUUUUGGGUUAAUUUGUUGAUUCUGCUUGGUCUUCAAUUCAUUUUUGAACUGCUGAAUCCUUUCUGGGCUAUUGUACUCGCUCGUUGACUGCUGUCGGGUUAUCAUUGGUUCCUUGGAACUGUUGCUGCUGCUGAUUUCUCUUUUUUCUACUUGAUUCACACUUCAGGCUAUUGAAAAAAGUCGAGACCCAACACCAAGUGAGAUACAUUUGCACGUCCAUACACAUGGGCAUGAUGAAAAAUCUUUUCUUGAUGAGAAAGCUCGAAUCGUGCAUGAAAGGUAUCAGGAAAUAUUGCAGGAACAAACACAAACUCAAUCUGAUAUUGAUCAAUGUAAAGCAUUGGAUCUCAAGCAAAAUGCUACUAUGGAUCGAAUCUUGAACUUUAGUGUUGGUGUUAGGAAUAAUUCGAACUUAAUUGUAUUAGCU